CCAACCUAAUUCAAAAUCGAAAUCUUUUAUUAAAGUUUUAGUUUCCUUCAGAAGCUCACUGGUCACAGGCUAGUGUAUUUAAAGGAAAACAUGGAAUCCAUGAACUCAGUUCCAAGAUAACAUCUGGAUACCUGGUUUCCUAGGAGCUAGUCCAGCAGGACAGCUAUACGCUAGAAUCCGGUGUAGUAUUGUGUACAUGCAAAAACCAAUGUAUAACGCUUUGUUACAGGUGAGACAGAAGUAUUCUGGUUUGGAGGAAUGCUAUGGGCUGGUUUACUAAAAUCGGUAACUUCCCUCAGAUAUGUCAACAGAACCCAGAUCAAUGCUUUGCAGCCCAGAUCUUUCUGUUACUAGAAAAAAAAAGAAAACUGGGGUGAGCUGUUUGUGUUAUCAAGAAAUAUAAUUGCAUGAAUGGAUUACACAGAAAUGCUGAUUCCAGAGAUAAUUAUGAUGGUCCAAUUUUAUACAGCUUGGUAACAAGCAAAAAUCAAUAAAUGUGUGUUCUGGUUUCCAACUGAAAUUCCCAACAUAUUGAUGUUACUUUUUAAUAUUGCACAUUGCAGUGCUCAAUUAGUAUAAAUGUGAACUAAUAGAAAAAACAUAAUAACAAACACAUUUGUUAAUCAGAGUCUACUCCUAUGCAAUUCCAUGCAACUCCUAUUGAAAUUCAUAUGAAUUUGUGGCCAUUAUGGUUCACAGUUUUGUUGGUUUCAUGUCUGCUGUAGAAAUGUUUUUCUUUUUGCAGUCGAUCGAUUUGUAAAGCAGUAUUAGAAAGCAAAAAUCGGUAACAAAUCUGGAUCAAAAAUACACAUAGGAGGCUGUGUGGUCCAGUGGUUAAAGAAAAUGGCUUGUAACCAGGAAGUCCCUGGUUCAAAUCCCCCCUCAGCCACUGACUCAUUGUGUGACCCUGAGCAAGUCACUUAACCUCCUUGUGCUCCGUCUUUCGGGUGAGACGUAAUUGUAAGUGACUCUGCAGCUGAUGCAUAGUUCACACACCUUAGUCUCUGUAAGUCGCCUUGGAUAAAGGCGUCUGCUAAAUAAACUAAUAAUAAUAUUCUACUGUAUAUCCUGUAAAGAAAAUGUAUGAUCUUACUUUACACACUGGAUUGCUUCGACAACCCACUCCGCCUUUGGAUUCGCACACACUUUCUUUCCUCUCGCUGUUAGGAGACUGAGGAGAGAAGGGAAUAUAUUUGAAUAAAACAACCUUUUUCUUGUAAAUUAGGAAGUUCAAAAUUCCUUGGAAUACAGUUUAAUAUACGUUUCACUUACACUGUUGCUUCAAUAUUGCAGACACCAUUGGCAUGCUGGUGUGUGUAGUCUUUAAUGAACCUGCAUGGCAGUGGCUUUGGGGAAUAAGAAAGGCAGCAUGGUCCAGUAGCUAAAACUAAAAGAACAAGUUACAAUGUUAGUAUUGGCGAAUAUGAAUGUACUGCUGAAUGUAGUCUUCUGCCAUCCCAGGCUGGUAUAGUUUUACACUGCAUCCACUAAAAAGUAAUAUUGGGCAGAUGUGAACAGUCCCUCUUUAGCCUAUGUAUUGGCUGCGUCUCCACUUUACCUUCUUUUUGUCAUACAUUUUGCAGCUCCUAGGGAUCCCACACUAAGAGUUACACUUUUUAGUGAGGUAUUUGAUGAUAUCCCUGCAUCCGGGCUGGAGUUGCCCUGGUCUUUAGAACUCUGUUGGCUAGUUAGAUGUCUGAUUCUUUUUGCUGGAAUGGUGACUGCUCCACCAUCAUUGGGUGAAUCAGGGGAAAAGAUGCACACUCUGUAUACAUGUAGCCUGGAAAAAUCCAUAUAGCUACUAUUUCUGACCUACAAAUUCCUAUCCUCUUGUCUCUACUUCCUUCACUAUUUUGUUGGGCUCCCUGUGUUCUCUUUCUUCCUUUCUUCUUUUAUCUUCCUGGUCUCUGUUGUUAGGUUAAUGUUGGUUCAAUAAAUAAUUUACUGCUACAUUUAUUUUUCCUCCUCUAUUUGAAGCCAUGAACUAAGUCCUACUUUUUGAAAAUAACAGUUAUAAUGACACAUACUAUACAAAUUCUCUGUACAAUUGGUGAUUCUAGUUCUAGAUUUUUAAAUUGAACAGUUUUUAGUAAAUUUUCCAUAUGCUCUUUUUUUUUAUUACCAGACUUUCUCGGUUUGUUUUCACUUAGACAACUAUAAAACCUUUAAUAAACACUGUUCUAAACUCUU